rnacentral:lncRNA from 1 species
UUAGUUAAACGCCGGCGUUUUGGUCCAAGCCUCACUUCGAUUCCAGGCUUUAACAUUUUUUGAAUGUUAUUUUCUCCCAGCGCUCAUUUUGCAUGAACCUACUUCUCGGCGUUUUGGUCCAAGCCUCACUUCGAUUCCAGGCUUUAACAUUUUUUGAAUGUUAUUUUCUCCCAGCGCUCAUUUUGCAUGAACCUACUUCGAUUCUGGCUGGCUACAUGUUUUCAAAUUAAU